AGUGAGCAUUAGGGAUACACAACAAAAAUGAAAAAAAGGAAUUGAAAGAAAAGACCACUAAAGGCAGAGGGAAUAUUCCCAAGUGAUGACCCUGUUUCACGUUGAAACAUUUGACAGUCUCAAGGAGUGACUUACAGUGGAGCAUUAAGGCUUUGACAAUAAUGUAAAUUAAAAAAUACUAUCUCAAACGAUGAAAGAGAGAAAGAAAGAAAAUUAAAGAAGUAAAGAAAGGAAGAAAAAGAGAAAGAAAGAAGGAAAAGUUGAAGAACAGAACUGUGUCUAUUGUCCUUUCAUCACACUUAACAACAGAGAUGUAUUCAAGUUACUUUGUUUGGCAGGAAAUGAGCUCACUUUUCCCUCUGCUGAAGAAAGCAAUUUGUGAAUCAUAUCCAGUUUGAGAAAAGAAUCACCUUAUUUCAAAAGAUAAAUCAUGUGAUAUUGUUAUGCUGAAUGAAUAAAAAGCAUGGAUUGAGAAUAGAUUAGAUGAAUGCAUUAUAAAGACAUCAAAGUAAACUGAUCUGAUGAUGGUACUGUGAAAGGACUGAAAUUUAAAGAUAUUUCAUUGCUAUCAAAGACCAUGGGAAACUAAUGAACAAAUGCUGAUUUCCUAUUACAGACUUUCUUGAAAUCCGAGAUUUAACAUGGGACUUAUUUUAGAAAGACUUAUCUUUAUUACCUUUAUUGUAUAUGGAUAAUGUUACCAGCUAAAUGAUUUUUACUAGUAAGAUUUGUCUUAAAAACUCACCAUACCCAUUUAGAGAUUAAAUAAAAUGUAUUCUACUUUUAAUACAUAAGCAUUA